CCUAGAGUAGAGUAAUUCAGAAUAAAUGGUAAGCUCCAUAAGAAACAAAAUAACAAAAACAAACAGACAAACAAACCAAAACAAAACAAAGUUCCUUUCCUAAUACUAAAGUAUCUCCUUUUCAUUUUGGGGGAGGAUAUCAUUUCUGGAUCUAAACAACCCAGCAGAACACUUGAUCAACCAUAGUUAACCAGACAGAGCAUGUUACACUGAGAUGGUGCCUCACACCAGAACAUUAAGUUCCUUCUGAAUCUGCCUAUAUCUUUGCAGUUUACCACGUAAAAAGUCAACCUCCGCCUCCUCCCAGUAUUGGGGUGGAGGUAGUACCACUUUCUACCCAAUGAUUCCUUUGCCAUUGCACAUGUUGAAGAAACUUUGGACAGCUCUGCAGCUUGCUUGGGCUUCUCCACUCCCUGGUACCUAUCUGCUGCUCUAAACAGUACCAGAUCGCGGUUUUCCUUUUUCAUCUUCUAUUUAUGAUAUUGUAAGACUAAGAUAUUGUAGGAGAAGACUUAGGCAAACCGAAAUAUAUCAGAACAAGAACACUCUGAAAAAUACCCAAGCUCAUCCAUGAUUUGGUAUACGGCCUGCUAUGGAGAAAAAACCCAACAACAAUAAAAACACACAGGCAAGCUUGAAAAAGGAUACAGAGAAACAAAGUUCCUGUAAUUUUUAAGUAAUCUGUUGCCUAAAAAGUGGAAUAUUUAAAUUAUUACCCCUCGUGAAAGAAAGUGCAAACUGUGAACGUGCAAUUACCUGUUAUAUUUCUAUUUGCUGGCCAGUGAAUCAAGAAGCAUGGAAUGCCUGGUCAGUUAGCACACAUGUAAGCUCAGAAGCAGCAACAGUCUGCUUCCUCAUGCCCUGCGCUUGGUGAAGCAUAAAGGAAGUUGUGACAAAUGUGAGGCAGCAUUAGGAGAAGUAGAGAAUAUAAUGGUGAGAAGAUGGACUAGGCACACAGGAGGAAGCUGCAGAGAGGAAGGGUAUACUAAAGAAUCAACCUGGACCAAGACAAGGUAAACCUGGGGACUGUGAACAGGAAGACAGCCCAGUGGGCAGGGCAUAGACCCACCAGAAGACAAACAAUUAGUUGUGUUGCCUAUUUUUGCCUUUUUUUUUUAAUAUUCUAAAUAACUUUAUGAUUUCCAUAACUUUAAGAACUUUCUAACAGCUUUAAGUAACACUACUGCCUGGAAACAAUGGCCAGAAAUGCAACACUGCAGUUGCUCUGUGCUCAAAAGCUUUGGUUGUUUUUUCUUUUGUAUAUACCUAAAAAACUAAGGUUAGCUCAGUGGCAACACUGAAGAUUCUCGCAUUAACUCCACAGAAAAGGACAAUUAUUUGGUAAGUUCUCAACACAAAUGUUUACAACUAGUCAGAAGAUGCACAGAAUUGGAAGUAAAAGAACUAUUUGAAAAAUUAAUUGUUUUAAAAGCAUUGGCUGGUUGUUAAUUAAGACAGAUGAGUAAAUAAAAAAUAUUUUAAGUGCAAGUGCUAUUUUUAGUGCAAUCUUCAAACCAAAUGAAGGUGCCCUGGAGUGGCAGUUCUUUGUUAUUGAGAUCUCUGAAUUAAGAUAACUCUGAAUAACUCGAAGCCAACAAAUACUAGAGGUAUUAAAUACCCAGUACUACUUAAUCCUCCUCUGAGCAAAGGUAAGUGGGGAGGGGGAAGGAAAGACAAUUCAUAUGUCAUUCAAACAGCCAGGCUUUUACCAUGCAGGCCUACAUUUUAUAGAAAAUGCAAAGUCUUAUUUUGUUGGCAAAUGUAUAAAAGAUUAUGUGCUAGAAGGAGUUUCAUUUCACUGUGGAAAAGAAUAUGACAGUGAGAAAAGGUUUUUCAGUUUAGAAAAUACGGGCAUCUGAAUGAAAAGAGUCUACAUGCUGCCUUCCUCUACUAACUCAGAUGGCAUCAUUAAUCUUCUGACCCCAUGCUCUCAGAAGCUAAGUCCAUCAGUCAGUUAUGCAUGUAACGAAGUCCACAAAGUUAUUUUAGCAUAUAUAAAAAGAAGAACUGAAAAGAGUUUGGCUUCCUAACAUGCUGUACGGAAACAACAACAGUACAGACAGUGCUUAGUGCCUACUGUAAUGAGUUGAAUUUAUUGACAGUCUUGCACUGAAACAUGAAAACAUGAAUAAAUCAGAAAAGUCCUUUAGAAAAUACUGCAGAAUCGCUCAGUACACAUUUAGUUAUAAGGUACAGCAGGAAUCUGAACAUUUCCCUUACUCACCAGCUGAGAAAUUGACAUACAAUAACACAGCUUAUUCCAAAAUCUUACUGGGACUUUUCAGUAUACUAAUGGGGGAAAUUGAGUGCCUUCUUGACAACUGUAUAACAAGUAAUUCCCUUGCAGAACUGCUAAUGUGACCAAAGUUAAGUAACUCAAGUGCUGUAAAAUGAAUAGGCAAAUGAGCAGAACUGAAAAAUAGUUGAUGUAAUAAAAGCUGUUUCUAGUGUACUCAUACAUUCAGAACUGCACCAGCAUUUACACACUUUCAUACCAUUAUUUCCCUACUAGCAUUUUCUUCCCACAAUCCCACGCUAAAGUAACUGCCAUCUGUUGUCAUUGACAGAUAACCAAGCAUACGUUAUUUGCCCAUUGGUCCAAUUCAUUCUGAUGACUGAAGAAAAUGGUGAAUGUUUACAGCUGAUGAGGCAAUUAUUCUGCUCCUUCCACAAGGCAGGUGUGACUUGACUCUUCAUUUCAGCAAAAUCAAGACAGAAGUACUAAUGGCUGUAACAAACUACUUCCUUUGAUGUAAUUACGAUGGAAUCUUUUCAAAAUAGGAAAAUCAGAAACGCUUA